rnacentral:lncRNA from 1 species
CUUUUCCUCCAUUCUCUCUUUAUUUUUUUUCUCAUUUUUCCCGUUGUUUUUCCUCUCCUUUUUUCUUUUUUCUCUUUUCUCCUUCCCUCGCCGAUGACGAAGGGCUAGUCCAACCAUAAGGCCCAAAUCUGGCCCAUCACGAUCCUUCCUGAAUGUCGGGCGGCAUUCUCUUCCUCUCUCACCCUUGGGCCUUUGGUGCUUGAACUGGCAUGCUGUUCCUCUAGCCCUUGUUCUUGCCGGCUCCUACCUCACUCUCUCCCUGCCCCUUUCUCUUCCUCCCUCCUUUUUAUCUCUUCUGAAAAACGAUAAGAAAUAAUAAUAUUCUCAAAACUCCUGUCCAGAUUUUUACUUUUUAUUUCCCGAAACUUUUUUUUCUAGUUUUAUCGGCCAAACACAUUACCUAAACGAAUCACACAUCAAAGCUUUGUAAAUGAAAAUGAAAGGAUUCGUUCCAGUUUUGCUUACCUGCAAUGAGUGAAAGCUGAAAACGACUUCACAAACUGUCCUGUUCCUGCAAUCAAUGGCUGCUGAUUGGUUUCUUCUUCUUUCUUAACUUUGUUGAAAUUGUUUCUCUCCUCUAUCGAGUUUCACACACUACAGCAGAAGCUAAAGACUUAAUUUUCCAACAAGUUUUUAUCAUAU